CAGCAUGUCCAGCUAUUUAAAGAGUUCUCGUGCAGCGUGGAGAGCAAACUGCACUGCUGCACCCUACUGCCUUCUCUGUCAGCCUCCGGCGCUCAGGCGUUUACAGCUUCACAAGACUUUAUCACUGAAGAACACCACUGAAAAGACAGCAUGACGAUCCACAGUAUGGCCAAGCUCUCUGUUCUGAAGGUUAAAGUUGGGAAAUACGUGACGGUCCGGCAAUUUACGGAUGGAGUGAAGCUGUGUGCUUGUGAUAGUCAAACAGAACUUUUAGUCAACAUAUACACCCGGCAAAUAGACAACAAGAACCAGAUGGCUUUCUGUUUCCACCAUAAAGGUGGUUGCUAUCUCCUAAAAGUGGGGAAGACGGGAAUGAACCUUGAGCAAAUCACCCCAUCCGUGUGUCCUUCACGUGAUGAGCACUGGUUUGAGAAGGUUCAACAGAACGUCGGCGAUAAAUUCGGCCUGCGAUCUGUGGGAGAUUCCAGCAAAUACCUCUCAUUAGACGCUAAUGGGAAAACAUUAAUUGUCUGCCACAGUGAAAUGAACGUGUAUGGUCUGUUCACAUGUUAUAGCAAAGCCUAGAGGCAUCCAUCAUCAGCUCAGCUUCAUCUUCUACAUUCCAUGCUGGGACAGAUACCUUCCUCUGGACCAAGCAGACAGUGCAAUUCUUUAGCUAAUGUGCCGUUCAUAGGUGGCUAAGUGUCUUUUCAUUAACUUUAUUAAAGGGGUGCUCUUGCAGUUUAGUUCUGUACUUCCAUUAAGCCGGGGGACCUGGAAGAGAGAGAUUAAAAAGAAAUGGUCAACA